GAUGAACGCUGGCGGCGUGCCUAAUACAUGCAAGUCGAGCGAACAGAUGAGAAGCUUGCUUCUCUGAUGUUAGCGGCGGACGGGUGAGUAACACGUGGGUAACCUACCUAUCAGACUGGGAUAACUCCGGGAAACCGGGGCUAAUACCGGAUAAUAUUUUGAACCGCAUGGUUCAAUAGUGAAAGACGGUUUCGGCUGUCACUUAUAGAUGGACCCGGGCCGUAUUAGCAAGUUGGUAAGGUAACGGCUUACCAAGGCGACGAUACGUAGCCGACCUGAGAGGGUGAUCGGCCACACUGGAACUGAGACACGGUCCAGACUCCUACGGGAGGCAGCAGUAGGGAAUCUUCCGCAAUGGGCGAAAGCCUGACGGAGCAACGCCGCGUGAGGGAUGAAGGUCUUCGGAUCGUAAAACUCUGUUGUUAGGGAAGAACAAAUUUGUUAGUAACUGAACAAGUCUUGACGGUACCUAACCAGAAAGCCACGGCUAACUACGUGCCAGCCGCCGCCGUAA
rnacentral:rRNA from 1 species